GAUGAACGCUGGCGGCGUGCUUAACACAUGCAAGUCGAACGGAAAGGCCCAAGCUUGCUUGGGUACUCGAGUGGCGAACGGGUGAGUAACACGUGGGUGAUCUGCCCUGCACUUCGGGAUAAGCCUGGGAAACUGGGUCUAAUACCGGAUAGGACCACUUCUUGGAUGUUGUGGUGGAAAGUUUUUUCGGUGUGGGAUGAGCUCGCGGCCUAUCAGCUUGUUGGUGGGGUAAUGGCCUACCAAGGCGUCGACGGGUAGCCGGCCUGAGAGGGUGUACGGCCACAUUGGGACUGAGAUACGGCCCAGACUCCUACGGGAGGCAGCAGUGGGGAAUAUUGCACAAUGGGCGCAAGCCUGAUGCAGCGACGCCGCGUGGGGGAUGACGGCCUUCGGGUUGUAAACUCCUUUCGCUAGGGACGAAGCGUUUUGUGACGGUACCUGGAGAAGAAGCACCAGCUAACUACGUG
rnacentral:rRNA from 1 species